rnacentral:rRNA from 1 species
GGUCAAGUGAAUAAGUGCAUACGACGGAUGCCUUGGCAUUAGAAGGCGAUGAAGGACGUGAUAAUCUGCGAUAAGCUUCGGUUAGCUGAUAAUAAGCAUUAUUAGCCGGAGAUCUCCGAAUGGGAAAACCCAGUGGUCAUCAGACCAUUAUCCUUAACUGAAUACAUAGGUUAAGGAGGCAAACCUAGGGAACUGAAACAUCUAAGUACCUAGAGGAAAAGAAAUCAACCGAGAUUCCCUUAGUAGCGGCGAGCGAACGGGGAUCAGCCCUUAAGCAUAUUUUAAAUUACUAGAAUGUUCUGGAAAGUUCAACGAUACAGGGUGAUAGUCCCGUAUAGGAAAAUUUAAUUUAUGUGAAAUCGAGUAAGGCGGCGCACGUGAAACGCUGUUUGAAUAUGGGGGGACCACCCUCCAAGGCUAAAUACUCUCUAAUGACCGAUAGUGAACAAGUACCGUGAGGGAAAGGCGAAAAGAACCCCGGGAGGGGAGUGAAAUAGAACCUGAAAUCGUAUGCAUACAAGCAGUAGGAGCGGAUUUAUUCCGUGACUGCGUACCUUUUGUAUAAUGGGUCAGCGACUUACUUCUCAGUAGCAAGGUUAACCAUUAGGGGAGCCGUAGGGAAACCGAGUCUUAAAUGGGCGUUUAGUUGCUGGGAGUAGACCCGAAACCGGGUGAUCUAUCCAUGGCCAGGGUGAAGGUUAGGUAAAACUAACUGGAGGCCCGAACCCACUUAUGUUGAAAAAUGAGGGGAUGAGCUGUGGAUAGGGGUGAAAGGCCAAACAAACCCGGAGAUAGCUGGUUCUCUCCGAAAUCUAUUUAGGUAGAGCGUCAUGUAUUACUUCAGGGGGUAGAGCACUGUUAUGGCUAGCGGGUCGUCAAGACUUAGUAAACCAUUGCAAACUCCGAAUACCUGAAAGUAUGAGCAUGGCAGACACACUGCGGGUGCUAACGUCCGUAGUGGAAAGGGAAACAACCCAGACCGUCAGCUAAGGUCCCAAAAUUGUAGUUAAGUGGGAAACGAUGUGAAAAGGCCCAGACAGCCAGGAGGUUGGCUUAGAAGCAGCCAUUCCUUUAAAGAGUGCGUAAUAGCUCACUGGUCGAGUCGGUUUGCGCGGAAGAUUUAACGGGGCUAAAACUACAUACCGAAGCUACGGAUCGCAAUUUAUUGCGAUGGUAGGAGAGCGUUCUGUAAGCCGUUGAAGGUGAACUGUGAGGUUUGCUGGAGGUAUCAGAAGUGCGAAUGCUGACAUGAGUAACGAUAAAGGGGGUGAAAACCCCCCUCGCCAGAAGUCCAAGGUUUCCUACGCAACGUUAAUCGGCGUAGGGUUAGUCGGCCCCUAAGGCGAGGCAGAAAUGCGUAGUCGAUGGGAAACAGGUUAAUAUUCCUGUACUUCAUAUAACUGCGAUGGGAAGACGGAGAAGGUUAGCGCAGCUUGGCGAUGGUUGUCCAAGUUCAAGCGUGUAGAAAUGAGUUUUAGGAAAAUCCGGAACUCUCUAUUUCAAGGCGUGAUAACGAUCCCUCUUUUGGGAGAAGUGCGUGAUACCAUGCUUCCAGGAAAAUCCUCUAAGCUUCAGGUUAUAUGAAACCGUACCCCAAACCGACACAGGUGGACGAGAUGAGAAUUCUAAGGCGCUUGAGAGAACUCGGGUGAAGGAACUAGGCAAAAUGACACCGUAACUUCGGGAGAAGGUGUGCUCUUGCCGGUGAUUUUACUUGCUAAAUGAGCUGGUAAGAGUUGAAGAUACCAGGUGGCUCCGACUGUUUAUUAAAAACACAGCACUCUGCAAACACGUAAGUGGACGUAUAGGGUGUGACGCCUGCCCGGUGCUUGAAGGUUAAUUGAUGAGGUUAGGAUUCGUCCGAAGCUUUUGAUCGAAGCCCAAGUAAACGGCGGCCGUAACUAUAACGGUCCUAAGGUAGCGAAAUUCCUUGUCGGGUAAGUUCCGACCUGCACGAAUGGCGUAACGAGGGCCACACUGUCUCCACCCGAGACUCAGUGAAAUUGAAAUUGCUGUUAAGAUGCAGUAUACCCGCGGCCAGACGGAAAGACCCCGUGCACCUUUACUACAGCUUUGCAUUGAACUCUGAUCCUACUUGUGUAGGAUAGGUGGGAGGCUUUGAAGCUUGGACGCUAGUUCGAGUGGAGCCAUCCUUGAAAUACCACCCUGGUAUGGUUGGGGUUCUAACCUAGGUCCGUUAUCCGGAUUGGGGACAAUGCAUGGUGGGUAGUUUGACUGGGGCGGUCUCCUCCCAAAGAGUAACGGAGGAGCGCAAAGGUACCCUCAGCACGGUCGGACAUCGUGCAAUGAGCGCAAAGGUAAAAGGGUGCUUGACUGCGAGACUGACACGUCGAGCAGGUAGGAAACUAGGUCUUAGUGAUCCGGUGGUUCUGAGUGGAAGGACCAUCGCUCAACGGAUAAAAGGUACGCCGGGGAUAACAGGCUGAUACCGCCCAAGAGUUCACAUCGACGGCGGUGUUUGGCACCUCGAUGUCGGCUCAUCACAUCCUGGGGCUGAAGCAGGUCCCAAGGGUAUGGCUGUUCGCCAUUUAAAGUGGUACGCGAGCUGGGUUUAGAACGUCGUGAGACAGUUCGGUCCCUAUCUACCGUGGGCGUUGGAGACUUGAGGGAAGCUGUUCUUAGUACGAGAGGACCGGAAUGGACACACCUCUGGUGUUUCGGUUGUGACGCCAGUCGCAUUGCCGAGUAGCUAUGUGUGGAAAGGAUAACCGCUGAAAGCAUCUAAGCGGGAAGCCCCUCCCAAGAUUAGGUCUCCCUGAUAGUUUAACUAUCCUAAAGAUCCCUUGAAGACUACGAGGUUGAUAGGCAGGGUGUGGAAGCACAGUGAUGUGUGAAGCUAACCUGUACUAAUUGAUCGUGAGGCUUGACCAUAUAACACCCAAAUUAUUUGA